GAUCCCUUAGCUCAGUGGUAGAGCGUGUGAUUCCAGCUUCAUUGCGUGUCCACAAGGUCAAGUGUUUAACUCGCUUAGAGAUCA
rnacentral:tRNA from 1 species